ncrna:unclassified sequences Glutamine riboswitch
UACGUUCAUCUUACAAAGUAAGACGGAAGUAAGCGAAUGCUGAAGGAACGCACC